rnacentral:rRNA from 1 species
AGUGAACGCUGGCGGUAGGCCUAACACAUGCAAGUCGAACGGCAGCACAGAGGAGCUUGCUCCUUGGGUGGCGAGUGGCGGACGGGUGAGGAAUACAUCGGAAUCUACUCUGUCGUGGGGAUAACGUAGGGAAACUUACGCUAAUACCGCAUACGACCUACGGGCGAAAGCAGGGGAUCUUCGGACCUUGCGCGAUUGAAUGAGCCGAUGUCGGAUUAGCUAGUUGGCGGGGUAAAGGCACACCAAGGCCACGAUCCGUAGCUGGUCUGGGAGGAUGAUCAGCCACACUGGAACUGAGACACGGUCCAGACUCCUACGGGAGGCAGCAGUGGGGAAUAUUGGACAAUGGGCGCAAGCCCGAUCCAGCCAUACCGCGUGGGUGAAGAAGGCCUUCGGGUUGUAAAGCCCUUUUGUUGGGAAAGAAAUCCAUCUGGUUCAUACCCGGGUGGGAUGACGGUACCCAAAGAAUAAGCACCGGCUAACUUCGUGCCAGCAGCCGCCGUAA